GUAGCUCAGCUGGGAGAGCACCUGCUUUGCAAGCAGGAGGUCAUCGGUUCGAUCCCGUUUGCCUCCA
rnacentral:tRNA from 1 species